UGGAUCACCUCCUAACAGGGAGACAACAAAAUGUUUAAUAUUAAUUUUGUCACCUUAGGUCGAUCGGUAUCUCACAUUCUUGAUUUAUUAAGAAUUUCAUUUUCUAAGUUUUUCUAGGUCACACCCAUUAUUUUUCCUGGGCCAUUAGCUCAGGUGGUUAGAGCGCACCCCUGAUAAGGGUGAGGUCCCUGGUUCAAGUCCAGGAUGGCCCAUAUCUCUAUGUUGGGGGUAUAGCUCAGUUGGUAGAGCGCCUGCUUUGCAAGCAGGAUGUCAGCGGUUCGAGUCCGCUUACCUCCACUGAUUACCACCUCUUCCAUAAUUUAUAGAAAGGAAACUUUUUAGGUGUGAUCAAAUUCUGAACGAAUCUAGCUUCCUAAUUAUUUUUAUUAAGAUGCUGGACUCAUUGAAUUAUUUCAUUGUUUUCAGAGAACCUUGACAACUGCAUAGAUUAUUUUUAAAGACAAUAAGCAUCUUUAAUGAUGCAGAUUUAUUAUUUGUGCGAAUGCAUUAAAUAACAAUUCUAUUAAGCUGAUGCUUCAAUUAUUGAAGUUAUUGGUCAAGCUACAAAGGGCUCACGGAGGAUACCUAGGCACACAGAGGCGAUGAAGG
rnacentral:tRNA from 1 species